rnacentral:rRNA from 6 species
UUAAAUUGAAGAGUUUGAUCAUGGCUCAGAUUGAACGCUGGCGGCAGGCCUAACACAUGCAAGUCGAACGGUAACAGGAAGCAGCUUGCUGCUUCGCUGACGAGUGGCGGACGGGUGAGUAAUGUCUGGGAAACUGCCUGAUGGAGGGGGAUAACUACUGGAAACGGUGGCUAAUACCGCAUAACGUCGCAAGACCAAAGAGGGGGACCUUCGGGCCUCUUGCCAUCAGAUGUGCCCAGAUGGGAUUAGCUUGUUGGUGAGGUAACGGCUCACCAAGGCGACGAUCCCUAGCUGGUCUGAGAGGAUGACCAGCCACACUGGAACUGAGACACGGUCCAGACUCCUACGGGAGGCAGCAGUGGGGAAUAUUGCACAAUGGGCGCAAGCCUGAUGCAGCCAUGCCGCGUGUAUGAAGAAGGCCUUCGGGUUGUAAAGUACUUUCAGCGGGGAGGAAGGUGUUGUGGUUAAUAACCGCAGCAAUUGACGUUACCCGCAGAAGAAGCACCGGCUAACUCCGUGCCAGCAGCCGCGGUAAUACGGAGGGUGCAAGCGUUAAUCGGAAUUACUGGGCGUAAAGCGCACGCAGGCGGUCUGUCAAGUCGGAUGUGAAAUCCCCGGGCUCAACCUGGGAACUGCAUUCGAAACUGGCAGGCUUGAGUCUUGUAGAGGGGGGUAGAAUUCCAGGUGUAGCGGUGAAAUGCGUAGAGAUCUGGAGGAAUACCGGUGGCGAAGGCGGCCCCCUGGACAAAGACUGACGCUCAGGUGCGAAAGCGUGGGGAGCAAACAGGAUUAGAUACCCUGGUAGUCCACGCCGUAAACGAUGUCUACUUGGAGGUUGUGCCCUUGAGGCGUGGCUUCCGGAGCUAACGCGUUAAGUAGACCGCCUGGGGAGUACGGCCGCAAGGUUAAAACUCAAAUGAAUUGACGGGGGCCCGCACAAGCGGUGGAGCAUGUGGUUUAAUUCGAUGCAACGCGAAGAACCUUACCUGGUCUUGACAUCCACAGAACUUUCCAGAGAUGGAUUGGUGCCUUCGGGAACUGUGAGACAGGUGCUGCAUGGCUGUCGUCAGCUCGUGUUGUGAAAUGUUGGGUUAAGUCCCGCAACGAGCGCAACCCUUAUCCUUUGUUGCCAGCGGUUAGGCCGGGAACUCAAAGGAGACUGCCAGUGAUAAACUGGAGGAAGGUGGGGAUGACGUCAAGUCAUCAUGGCCCUUACGACCAGGGCUACACACGUGCUACAAUGGCGCAUACAAAGAGAAGCGACCUCGCGAGAGCAAGCGGACCUCAUAAAGUGCGUCGUAGUCCGGAUUGGAGUCUGCAACUCGACUCCAUGAAGUCGGAAUCGCUAGUAAUCGUGGAUCAGAAUGCCACGGUGAAUACGUUCCCGGGCCUUGUACACACCGCCCGUCACACCAUGGGAGUGGGUUGCAAAAGAAGUAGGUAGCUUAACCUUCGGGAGGGCGCUUACCACUUUGUGAUUCAUGACUGGGGUGAAGUCGUAACAAGGUAACCGUAGGGGAACCUGCGGUUGGAUCACCUCCUUACCUUAAAGAA